rnacentral:rRNA from 1 species
GACGAACGCUGGCGGCGUGCUUAACACAUGCAAGUCGAACGGUAAGGCCCUUCGGGGUACACGAGUGGCGAACGGGUGAGUAGCACGUGGGUGAUCUGCCCUGCACUUCGGGAUAAGCCUGGGAAACUGGGUCUAAUACCGGAUAGGACCACUGCCUGCAUGGGUGGUGGUGGAAAGCUUUUGCGGUGUGGGAUGGGCCCGCGGCCUAUCAGCUUGUUGGUGGGGUGGUGGCCUACCAAGGCGACGACGGUUAGCCGGCCUGAGAGGUUGACCGGCCACACUGGGACUGAGAUACGGCCCAGACUCCUACGGGAGGCAGCAGUGGGGAAUAUUGCACAAUGGGCGCAAGCCUGAUGCAGCGACGCCGCGUGAGGGAUGACGGCCUUCGGGUUGUAAACCUCUUUCAGCACCGACGAAGCGCAAGUGACGGUAGGUGCAGAAGAAGGACCGGCCAACUACGUGCCAGCCGCCGCGGUAA